AUACGUAGGUGACAAGCGUUAUCCGGAUUUACUGGGCGUAAAGGGCGUGUAGGCGGUCUCGCAAGUCAGAAGUGAAAUUCCUGAGCUCAACUCGGGCGCUGCUUCUGAAACUGCAGGACUUGAGUACAGGAGAGGCGAGUGGAAUUCCUAGUGUAGCGGUGAAAUGCGUAGAUAUUAGGAGGAAUACCAGUGGCGAAGGCGACUCUCUGGACUGAUACUGACGCUGAGGCACGAAAGCGUGGGGAGCAAACAGGAUUAGAUACCCUGGUAGUCCACGCUAUAAACGAUGAGUGCUAGGUGUCGGGGGUCAAACCUCGGUGCCGCAGUUAACACAUUAAGCACUCCGCCUGGGGAGUACGGCCGCAAGGCUGAAACUCAAAGGAAUUGGCGGGG
rnacentral:rRNA from 1 species